rnacentral:rRNA from 1 species
GACGAACGCUGGCGGCGUGCUUAACACAUGCAAGUCGAGCGAUGAAACUACUUCGGUAGUGAAUUAGCGGCGAACGGGUGAGGAACACGUGAGGAAUCUGCCUUCUACACUGGGAUAACUCCGGGAAACCGGGGCUAAUACCGGAUAUGAAACUUGGUGGCAUCACCGAGUUUGGAAAGUUUUUCGGUAGAAGAUGACCUCGCGGCCUAUCAGCUUGUUGGUGAGGUAAUGGCUCACCAAGGCGACGACGGGUAGCCGGCCUGAGAGGGCGACCGGCCACACUGGGACUGAGACACGGCCCAGACUCCUACGGGAGGCAGCAGUGGGGAAUAUUGGGCAAUGGAGGAAACUCUGACCCAGCGACGCCGCGUGCGGGAUGAAGGCCUUCGGUGUAACCGCUUUCAGUAGGGAAGAAGCGAAGUGACGGUACCUACAGAAGAAGCACCGGCUAACUAUGUG